AUUUAGCUAACUUUUGAAAUGGAGUUAAGCUAAUCUAUUUUCUCUACAAAUUUCAGUCCUAAUGAGUAGAGUAACUGACUAUUUGCGACUUUCGGGUCAGCUAAACUCAGCUGUGAGCUUAAUAACAUUCCCAAUACUUCACUUCUUUAUAGUAGGAUUUGCACCCUUGACCUCUCAAGAAUCGCAGGAGUAUCCAGCAAAAAUGUGGGA
rnacentral:misc_RNA from 1 species